GAGGGAAUAUUGGUUAAUGUGCGAAAGCGCGAACCAGCAACGCCGCGUGUACGAAGAAGGCCUUCGGGUUGUAAAGUACUUUUCACCGGGAAGAGGAAGGACGGUACCGGUGGAAUAAGUCUCGGCUAACUACGUGCCAGCAGCCGCGGUAACACGUAGGAGACGAGCGUUAUCCGGAUUUACUGGGUGUAAAGCGCGUGCAGGCGGUCUGUUAAGUUGGAUGUGAAAGCUCACGGCUAAACUGGGAGAGGUCGUUCAAAACUGGCAGGCUAGAGUGUGGUAGAGGGGAGUGGAAUUCCGAGUGUAGCGGUAAAAUGCAUAGAUAUUCGGAAGAACACCAGUGGCGAAGGCGACUUCCUGGACCACAACUGACGCUCAGACGCGAAAGCCAGGGUAGCAAACG
rnacentral:rRNA from 1 species